rnacentral:lncRNA from 1 species
CAAGUGUAUCUCAUUGUAGUUUGUCACUUCAAAUUUGUCAUAAUAGCAUUCAUGUCAUCAGAAUGCAAAUGGGGAAAUAAAAAAAUUGUGCUGAUUGGCAUUGCCAAUUUCUCAAACCAUUAAAAGUGGGUCUCACUCUGGUCUAUAAGCAUGACACAGGAUUGACAUUUUUUUGUAAGCAUGACAAAUGAAUGGCAAAUUCAACAAUUGUGGUUUUUACCCACCAUUUUUAUGGCCCCGCAACGAAGUCUGUAAUUUUGUCUUUCUGUAAUUCCGUCAUUCCGCAACAUACCAUUAUACGUUUUGUUCCGCUCCACUAAUUUUUGCCGAAAUUACAGGCUUUGGACUUUGAGAAAUUGUUGAAAAUCACAGUUAUAUGGACAUUUUUUUCUAAACGCCUUCAGAUAUGGGGCUGAUUUUUGGUAUGUGAGUUAACCAUAAUGAGUUACAGAUCAAGUUUACGUUUUGUUCCGCUCCACUAAUAUUUGCCGAAACUACGGGCUUUGGACUUUGAGAAAUUGUUGAAAAUAACUGUUAUACAGACUUUUUUUCUAAACACCUUCAGAUAUAGGGCUGAUUUUUGGUAUGUUAGUUAACUAUGAUAAGUAACAGAUCAAGUAUAAGUUUCGCUCCGCUCCACUAAUUUUUGCCAAAUUACGGGCUUUGGACUUUGAGAAAUUGUUGAAAAUCACAGUUAUACAGACUUUUUUUCUAAACACCUUCAGAUAUGGGGCUGAUUUUUAUACGACC